rnacentral:misc_RNA from 1 species
UUGGACGGUCGGUGAAACCCCCUCGCGGGUGUCUCACCCCUCCCAAAGACAAUGACGGCGGCCUCGUUGGACCCCCGGUACACUGAGUUCUUAAACGAGCACGUACCGGACAAGGGUUCACGGGACACGGUCUGCCUCCCCUCAGGGAGAACUUUUACAAGGUUGACCUCGGAUCAGGUAGGGAUACCCGCUGAACUUAA